rnacentral:rRNA from 1 species
UGUCAGCCGCCGCGGUAAUACGGAGGGUGCAAGCGUUAAUCGGAAUUACUGGGCGUAAAGCGUGCGUAGGCGGUUUAUUAAGUCAGAUGUGAAAUCCCCGGGCUCAACCUGGGAACUGCAUCUGAUACUGGUAGACUAGAGUGUGGGAGAGGAGAGUGGAAUUUCCGGUGUAGCGGUGAAAUGCAUAGAGAUCGGAAGGAACAUCAGUGGCGAAGGCGACUCUCUGGACCAACACUGACGCUGAGGCACGAAAGCGUGGGUAGCAAACAGGAUUAGAUACCCUGGUAGUCCACGCCGUAAACGAUGUCAACUAGCCGUCAGGCUCGCUUUAGAGUUUGGUGGUGGAGCUAACGUAUUAAGUUGACCGCCUGGGGAGUACGGCCGCAAGGUUGAAACUCAAAUAAAUUGACGG